UACGAAGGUCCCAAGCGUUAUCCGGAUUUAUUGGGUUUAAAGGGUGCGUAGGCGGGCUAUUAAGUCAGUGGUGAAAGCCCCAAGCUUAACUUGGGAACUGCCAUUGAUACUGAUGGUCUUGAGUACAUUUGAGGUGGGCGGAAUGUGUCAUGUAGCGGUGAAAUGCUUAGAUAUGACACAGAACACCGAUUGCGAAGGCAGCUCACUAAACUGUAACUGACGCUGAGGCACGAAAGCGUGGGGAUCGAACAGG
rnacentral:rRNA from 1 species